GACGAACGCUGGCGGCGUGCUUAACACAUGCAAGUCGAACGGAAAGGCCCUGCUUUUGUGGGGUGCUCGAGUGGCGAACGGGUGAGUAACACGUGAGUAACCUGCCCUUGACUUUGGGAUAACUUCAGGAAACUGGGGCUAAUACCGGAUAGGAGCUCCUGCUGCAUGGUGGGGGUUGGAAAGUUUCGGCGGUUGGGGAUGGACUCGCGGCUUAUCAGCUUGUUGGUGGGGUAGUGGCUUACCAAGGCUUUGACGGGUAGCCGGCCUGAGAGGGGGACCGGCCACAUUGGGACUGAGAUACGGCCCAGACUCCUACGGGAGGCAGCAGUGGGGAAUAUUGCACAAUGGGCGGACGCCUGAUGCAGCAACGCCGCGUGCGGGAUGACGGCCUUCUGGUUGUAAACCGCUUUCGCCUGUGACGAAGCGUGAGUGACGGUAAUGGGUAAAGAAGCACCGGCUAACUACGUG
rnacentral:rRNA from 1 species